rnacentral:rRNA from 1 species
UACGUAGGGUGCGAGCGUUGUCCGGAAUCAUUGGGCGUAAAGCGCGUGUAGGCGGCUUGGUAAGUCCGGUGUGAAACCUUGGGGCUCAACCCCAAGCCUGCACUGGAUACUGCCUCGCUUGAGUCCGGGAGGGGAGAGCGGAAUUCCUAGUGUAGCGGUGAAAUGCGCAGAUAUUAGGAAGAACACCGGUGGCGAAGGCGGCUCUCUGGAACGGUACUGACGCUGAGACGCGAAAGCGUGGGGAGCGAACAGG